GACAGAGGUGAUUGUCAGGCAGACUACAAGGCGCGGCAAUUUGAGAGUGAACCCUCAGCUGUGAUAGAGCUCUGGGGCUUCAUUAGGAAAACACAGGGGCAGAACCAGAGCGAUCCGUUUACACAUGUCAUAAUGACACCCUGUUCUGGCUUUGGCUCGUACCUCUCAUAUGUAGAAGUUUCGAGUCCCCCCCCCCCAUCCCUUUUCAGUCCUUUUCCUUUUCUUCACUUAGCACUGCUAUCCUCUGCCAACCAGAUGUUGUUGUUCGAAUGCAGCAGGAAAGCCUCCUUACUUUGGACCAAUCAAAGGCCCUCUUGAUUUCACUUGUCACUAGUCCAAAGGGCUGUAACACCAGCCGUCAUCCUCACCAGCUGGUAUCUCAUCAUAACAAGAUCAUGUUACCAUUUUACUGUAUGUCCCGAGAUUAAUCCGCUGAUAUUACAGAGAUGGUUUAAAUUUCACCUGGCCUGCUUUUCUCUCCAUAUUGCACUCCAAGCCUCAAAAGGUCAGGGGUCACCUUCGUAAUUAUGUUAAAAACGGAUAGCUGUUGGUCGCGGAUGCACGACAUAAACCUUUAUCUCAUACUCCCAGAUGUUUUGUGUUGAAGCACAACAAGAUUUCCUUUCACUAAAUGAGUUCCCACUUUACUCUGUGUCAUUUGUUGUGGCUCCAUGCAUUGCCUUAGUAACCAAUACAUAUGAAAUCACAGUGUGCCGCUUGUGCUGUGCAGAAGGAUUUAUGGCCUUGUGUUGUGUGUAAUGGGAGCUGGCUGUCGUAUGUGAGUGACUUUAGCUCGCCACCUCUGUGCUCUGACCUAAACAUUGCUGUCCUGUUCUAUUGUCUAAACUGCUAAAAGUCCUUUAAAAAAAGAAGAAAAGUCUCCCACACUGACAGAGUCAGGAGCCAACUGGAGGAUUUCACCUCAGGAAACAGCCAGUUUUUUUGUCUCAGUUUUCCUUGCCUUUAUUUGGGAUAUUUUAUAGCCCGUGUAAUCCGAUCCCACCACAUGGGUAUUCGCUGAGCGUUUGAAACUAAAACGCAAUGGGACAGAGGGAGUACAGAACCCUGGUUUGGCCCUUACGUGUGUGCGUGUGCAUGUGUGUGUGUGUCUGUUUGUGUUUAAUGUGUGUGUUUGAAUGAAAGCCUGUGUAAGUGUGUGUAAGAGAGGAAAAAAAGGCCAGAUGUUCUUAGUUUGAUUGUGCCCCGUGCAACAGUUAUCUGAGUGUUGACAUGACUAAAAGGUUCAUUCUCAGUGUUUAUAUAGAAAGGGCAGAUUAAGGAAUGAGUGUCCAGGGUUGCAGAGGUUGAUAUAACAUAUGGUGUAAAUGGAAAUUGCACAGAAUAAAAUAUAUGAUAUCUCACAACUUACUUUGUCUCUCUUUCUCCCUUUCCUUCUUUCUGUUUCUUGUUUUUUUGUACUCCUACCCUGUCUAUCUAAUAAACAGACUCCCUGUUUAGCACUGUACGGCAGUGCUAGAUUCAGUGCCAUGCCCUCUUGUGGACAACACCAGUGCUAACACCCUCUAGCCUGUCCCUCAGCCUGUUGGCCCACCAGAGUGUUGCUCUGCCUGCAGACCAGCAGGGUGCCAACCCAGGAAGAAGUCCAGAUGGCCAAGUCAUCACAAGCCAACAUGGGGGAAGAACACAACACAGUCACACAUUUUGUCUUGGACCAAAAGGCUGUCGCUGGCUCGUGUGUGUUACAUUGUGUUCAGCAAGCGCUUUAAAAGGAGCAUCUCAGAUCUUCUUCCUGUCUGACAUUGCCCUAAAGUGUGUAUGCGCGCAUGAGUCAGUGUGGCAGCCCAGAUGAGCUGCUCCUCCUCCUCCUCCUCCCCUCCCUGCUCCGCACAGCAGACAGGGCUCCGAUCAGCCUUGUGUGGUCUUCUCAGAUGGAGCCUGAACAUGAUCUCUUUCCAGGGGAAACGGUUUGUUUUCUCUGCCCGGCUUGCACAAAGAGCUGCAUUGUUCCUCUCCCCAUAUCCCACGCUGACUCCCCACUCCAGGUUUUGGGUUACCUGGCCGACGGGGGCUCAGACUUCAUCAGUUUUUUUAUUUUUUUGACCGACAGCCAGGAAUAUAGUAUACCCUUCUCUCCUCCACCUUUCCGCCCAAUCUAAAUACGGUACGCACCAGUUCUGAGGUUUUAUCCCUCACAAGUGAUUGCCUGUGAUUCCCUACUCAGCUCACUUCCUCCAAGGGAAGAAAGACAGUCUGCUGACAUUAAGACUUCAUCCAGUUUACUCACUGACGAGAGUCCGGCCGGGCUGUUGAGACAGAUGAUGGAGCAGCCUAACAACCCAGGGGAGAGUCUCCUCCCCCUCCUCUUAAACAAUGUAAACUUAAACUGAAUAUAUGAGGGUACACCUACUGAUACAUAGUAGCUGAGAUGGUCUGUGAACACUUUAGACGUCUUGAUGACGCUGGUACAUGAAUGUGUAACGUACAGAUCCUCAUUCAAUAUUCACCUAAUCUACCAAGUCUCUCAUAGCAAAUCAGAGUUUGAAUCACGUUCACCACCGAAUGCCAUGCAUGUUUCGUCCCUGCCAUUCAUGAAUGAAUGAUCCUAAUUCUGAUUUUCUUGUGGAUGAUGCUGGUUUUGAUCAGCCGUUUCUGAAAAGGAAAGCAACCUUGUAAUAUUACCAAAUGUGGUAUUAUACCCAAAGGCAUCAAAUGCUGUAGUAUGCAGCGAUCAGUAUUACAGUUCCCGCUAUCAGGGAUACCUAUUGAGAUUUGAUCCAGCUAGAUCACUUAGCAGCUUGUCAACACUUGUUCCUUUGCAAGAUUUCAGUUUUGUAGUCGACACAGAUACUAUUUGAUGUUAUAUUAACUUAUGGAUGAAGCAUCUGUAGAUUUUCACAAAAAUGCUUUAUUUCUUCUUUUUUUGUUUGUUUGUUUUGUUCUUUUUCUUUGAUGAUUUUCAUUUUAUGAGUGCCUGAACUCUCAAACGCCUCUUGUCCAUAUGUUAAUAUGCUGUAGCCCCACUAGAGGGCAUUGUUUGCCUUUGUAACUUUGCACCUGAGCAGAAAGAACCAGGAGGCCAUAAGACAGUCUGCUGAAACCCAAUGCAAUCUCCGCAAAUCACUCAGUGCCAUCAGACUGAUGUGACUGAUAAGCCAAGCAGACGGCUUUUCCUUUACAUCUCGCCAUUAUUUUAUCUUUAAAUUCAAAUAUUGCCAUUUGCCACACUCACAGCAGUGUCAAACCAAGGGUGCAGUCAGCUGCAUUUCAACGCCUUUUAGUGAACAGCUCAGCACUCCCCUGAGUUAAACUAAGCAGUCCCUUUGACCUGCUUGAUGCUAGAAUACCGCCAGAUGUGGCCCACCCCAGCCAUCAUUCCAAAAUCACUUACCUAUCCGUUUGUGGGCAUGCGUGUGUGCAUGCACGGAUAUGUGGCAACACAUUUCACCGUCUCCUCACUCAUUCCAGCCCACUUCCCCCACCACAGAUCAUGCCUUUAAGUCAGUGUCAUUCUUGGCUGGUAAGGGGACUUUCUCGCUUGUAUGGCGCAGUGAUGACAUCACUUCAUACAAAUAGCUGCAGUGUCAACAGGAGAUCUCCGACUCUGACGGCAGAGGCCAAAAAGUAAACAAUUCAAACUGCCAUCAUUAGUUUCACCAUGUUUAAUCAAUGCCUUUCCUCACCUCACCCAGUAUCUGUGUCACCUCAGAGUUUUGACAGAAAACCCGUUUUACCAGAAGUUUGGUUGCUUCUUGCUUCACCCAGAGGUACUUUCUGACCUUCCCUGUCAAAGUCACUAUCUGACAAAAUGUUUGUAUUCAAAUAAAGAUUAAAUAAGAGCAUUGGUGAAGACCUCUUUGUAAAGUGAAAUAAAUAAAAGUUAUUCUAAGAUCA
ensembl:lncRNA